rnacentral:rRNA from 1 species
AUUGAACGCUGGCGGCAGGCUUAACACAUGCAAGUCGAGCGAGCGGCGGACGGGUGAGUAAUGUCUGGGAAACUGCCUGAUGGAGGGGGAUAACUACUGGAAACGGUAGCUAAUACCGCAUACCAUCAGAUGUGCCCAGGUGGGAUUAGCUAGUGGGUGGGGUAAUGGCUCACCUAGGAGACGAUCCCUAGCUGGUCUGAGCGGAUGACCACCCACACGGGAACGGAGACACGGUCCGUACUCCUACGGAAGGCAGCAUUGGGGAAUAUUGCACAAUGGUCGCAAGCCUGAUGCAGCAAUGCCGCGUGUGUGAAGAAGGCCUUCGGGUUGUAAAGCACUUUCAGCGAGGAGGCGUUACUCGCAGAAGAAGCACCGGCUAACUCCGUGCCAGCAGCCGCGGUAAUAC